rnacentral:lncRNA from 1 species
CUUGUUUUGGUUUUUCUCUUCCUUUGAUGGAGUGUGUCAGUUGUUUAAAGCUUACAAGCUGCUGAGAUAAAAAGCAAGUUAAGUAUGUGAUCCAGGUGUUGCCAAGAGUUGAGGCAGAAGUGUUAAAAAGCUUAGAACGCUGGAUGGGGAAAAAAAAGAAAAAAAAGAAAGUGUGCAUGACAAGAAGAAAAAAAGCCCAAUCCCAACCCAAGCCUUGAAGUAUUUGUGAAUCAGGUGUUUAACUAGUGGACAAAAAAACUGCGAGCGCAAACAGUGGAGAUAUUAAGAACAGCCGUCCUGCAUAUUGCUUUAUUGACAUGCACAGAAGUAGUGGUGUACAGCUUGCUGUUCCUUUUCAAUAAACAGGAGGAGACUGAGAGUUCAGUGCUUGUUGCCUGAACUGCACAACCAGGCAGAGUAACCCAUGCUCUGAUGUCCCUAGACUCUGAAACUUACCUUGCAGCUAUAUGAAAAUCUUUCUGACUUGUGUCAGAUCUUGUGCAGGAGCCUUCCAGAAAUGCUGGGCUCACAAUCAAAGCUCUGGUCUUCCCCCUAGCACCAUGAGGAUGUGAAAACAGACCAGAAUUUCCUCAUGAUGCUGUAUUCAUAUUAAAGUAAGUAAAGUCAAAACAGUCAUAACCAAUUAUUCUACCACCUCUGACUUGCUGAUUCCUACAUGUUCACCCAACUCCUAGCACUACUAAAUUUUUGUGAACAUUUCUCAGCUCUGUUCCUCCUUUCUUUUCUGCUGUAUCUAUUUCUAUUUCUAUUUCUAUUUACUGACCACUCUCUUCCACUGCUUCAGUCAUCACCUGUUUAACCUGGAACUGUAGAUAUGAAGAUGACCAACUUUCAAAACCACUUCUUCACAAACAAACCCAUGAGGUUUCUGUUUAGGAGAAGCAGUUCACCUUUCACUCCUAAUGUCAGGAGAGGAGAAGCCUGGUGGAAGGAAAAACUCCAAGAGAAAGUAGCCAUGAGUUCAUAAUACCCAGACCUGAAAUAUCUUUGGAAAAUGCAAGAGGAGUGUGUUUACCAACAAAGGCAAAAAGGAAAAGGCAGAGAGGCAGUGGAGAACUUGUUGUCACCAACCAGCUCUUCAUUUUUUGUGGAGAAAGCUUCAAGUGUGAAGGAGCACUAACCCAGAAGAAAGAGCAAUCAAAUGUGCUAAAAAGCACUGCUUUCCACUUGCAAAAAGUCCUGUUUAGUACAUGUUUAUGAAACUCGUCUCAGAUGUUCUAAAAAUAGCCUUGCAGGAGCAAGUCAGCUCCCUCCAGGAAGCCCUACACGUUCCUAGCAUAGAAGCGCAGCUUAAUCCUGAUUUUCACAAAAAGAACAAUUAUUUUUAGUGCUUUUAAAAACAGACUUUAGUUGCCCGGUGCUGAUUUGUCAAAACAAAACAUGAAAGAUGUGUCACUUCACAGGAAUGUGGCACAAGUUGAUGGGUUCCGAAUGUCCAGAACGUCUGACAGUAAUGUGGUGGUUCAGAUGUGUCAGGAGGUGUUAAGAUAAAGAUUUCAGGCAAGGCUUGUGGGGCAACAAUAAGAUGAAAAAAAGGGUCUAAGGAGCAUCCUGACGGCGAUGAAGAGAGAGACAGAGGAAAGGGACGUCCUAGGGAGCAGUGUUGAAAGAACAUAAGAACAAGUAAGAACACAACCAAAGCAUAAUGACUUCUUCUGGCUGCGGUGCCAGAUAUCCUCAACAAGAGAAAUGUUGCACAGCUAGUUGGACAGUUAUAAGGAAUAUGAUUUGGUAUGGUUAUGUCAUUACAGAAGUCCAGUUAAACUUGGUCCUAGUG